CAGCAGGCACGCAAAUUACCCACUCCCAGCACGGGGAGGUAGUGACAAAAAAUAACGAUACGGGACUCAUCCGAGGCCCCGUAAUCGGAAUGAGUACACUUUAAAUCCUUUAACCAGGAUCCAUUGGAGGGCAAGUCUGGUGCCAGCAGCCGCGGUAAUUCCAGCUCCAAUAGCGUAUAUUAAAGCUGUUGCGGUUAAAAAGCUCGUAGUUGGUUCUGUGUUCCACGCUGUUGGUUCACCGCAUGUCUGUGUAACUGACAUGUCGUGGGACGUCCUGCCGGUGGUAGUUAAACGCCAGGUGUUUACUUAGGGGCUAUUUUGUGUGAGUCUCCUCUAACAAGGUCUCUCAUUCAAUACCUUUUGUAAGCCAACUGGUUAGUUUAAAUUACCGAGCGCACUUACCCGCCCUGGUGCUCUUUACUGAGUGUCGAGGAGGGCCGGCACAUUUACUGUGCACAAAUUAGAGUGCUCAAGGCAGGCAAAAUUACGCCUAAAUAGUGGUGCAUGGAAUAAUAGAAUAAGACUUUGGUUUUAUUUUGUUGGUUUUUUGAACCUAAGGUAAUGAUCAAUAUGGACGGUCGGGGGCAUUCGUAUUGCGACGUUAGAGGUGAAAUUCUUGGAUCGUCGCAAGACGCACAAAAGCGAAAGCAUUUGCCAAGUACGUCUUAAUUGAUCAAGAACGAAAGUUAGAGGUUCGAAGGCGAUCAGAUACCGCCCUAGUUCUAACCAUAAACAAUGUCAGCCAGCGAUCCGUCGGAGUUUAUAUCAUGACUCGACGGGCAGCUUCCGGGAAACCAAAGCUUUUGGGUUCCGGGGGAAGUAUGGUUGCAAAGCUGAAACUUAAAGGAAUUGACGGAAGGGCACCACCAGUAGUGGAGCUUGCGGCUCAACUUGACUCAACACGGAAAAUCUCACCAGGCCCUGACAUUUGAAGGAUUGACAGAUUGAUAGCUCUUUCUUAAUUAAGUGGGGAGUGGUGCAUGG
rnacentral:rRNA from 1 species